UCUCUAUUCAAGCCUGAAUAGUUCCACCAUCACGCUUGCUUGGCCCAAUGAAAUGUGAACGCAAGUGAUGUGUGACUUCUGGGUGGCAGGGUUAAAAGCCCGGGUAUGAUUCACCAAGCGACCUAUUCCCUGCCACAUGAUCCUGGGGGCAGAUGGAUAGCUGAUCUCUGAGUGACUACAGUGAACAAAGAAAGAAAGACUCCUGCCAAACCUUGUGGACAGGUAGUACAAGCAAGAAAUUAACUUUUGUUCUGUUAAGUCUCUGAGAUGUUGGUUGUUGUUUUCCAUUGUAUAACCUACUUUUCUUGACAAAAACCCUCAUUAAAGCAGAGCCUGAGCUCCUCUCCACUAUUUAAAGAACUUGGGGAUCUAGAUCAGGACUAGCCAUCCUGGAGAUGUUCAGUAAAGAUUCUCUAAUUGAAUACAAAAUGUCCAAUAACAAAAUAUGGGUUUUUUGAAGGCCCAAUAGAAUGGGUCAUGUUUUAGUCUCAUUUUAUGAUUUAUUAAAGUCAAGGAUAGCAAAGAAAGUAAUAUUUUUUAAGAUGCUUAAAAUAGAGUGUUAAAGUAGGGGAGAGGUUCUUAACCUAUUCCCUUCACUCUUGUGUGAGAGAAGCUAUCAUUUAAAACCCUGGCUCUUUUCAUACUUCAAUCCUACUGAUGUUUUUCUUUUCUUUGAGACGGAGUCAGGCUCGAGUGCAGUGGUGUGACCUCUUGGGUUCAAACGAUUCGCCUGCCUCAGCCUACUGAGUAGCUGGGAUUACAGCUGCAUAUCACCAUCCUUGGUUAAUUUUUGUGUUUUUUAGUAGAAAUUAGGUUUCAACAUGUUGGCCAGGGUGGUCUCAAACUUUUGACCUCAAGUGAUCUGCCUACCUCAGCCUCACAAAGUGCCGGGAUUACUGGCGUGAGCCACCAUGCCUGGCCCCUACUGACUUUAAAAAUAUGAAGUUGUAUGGUUGAAAAGUAACAGAUUUUUCUUCCAUUUUCUUCCUUUUCUCACUUUUCAGUCAGAUAAUUGGAAUGUUCCCUUUGUAAGGUUGGGAAGAAGGACGAUCAAGUGGGUAGCUAGCUCCUUGCACCUCUGUGGAAGAGCUAAACUUCCUCUGUGAAGAGCUUCACCACAGGGCCCUUGGCACUGGGGACAGAGUGGCACAUUUAUACCAAGCACCCACUUCCACUUUCUCUCUAACACUUGAAAACUUUCACAGUACUUUUUCACUAAGGCUACUGUCAAGUCUGAAAAAUAAAGACAUUGUUUCACUUAGAAGUUGUAUUACCUGUGGAUUAUUUAAACUCCCCUAAAUGACAUCUAGAUGAUAUAGUAAGAAAUUUGUUGUGUAGUGUACAGUCAACUCAGAUACAAAGAAUGUAAUGGCUUUAGUGAGCCAACUGUACUUGUAAAAUUAAAACUUAACCAACAUGUUGAAUCAGGCACAUAAAGUAUUGGCUAAAU
rnacentral:lncRNA from 1 species